AAACAGACCGCUUGUUUACUUAAAUGUUGAUGUUGUUGAAAUUACGCUGCCUGCGACAAAACUCUCAAAAAAUCAUGAAUCAUCAUCAAAACGGCUUAAAAAGGAUAUUAAAAAGCAUUCCUCCGGAGCAUCGUCGCACCUGCAGAACGAGACCAUCAACCCAGUCCAGUGCUGUUUUACACCAAAAACCAGAGCGGUGCCAGCGGGUCCCAACGAAAAAGCUGCGUAAUUGAAAACUAAUGUUCAACUAGUAGGGUUAACCAAUCGCAAGGGAUUUCCGUUAGCAAUUAACUUCGGCAAGAAAAAGUGCUACUGAAAAACUAACAACUCAACAUCGUCCAUCGAGGAGGUCACUAGCAAAAGCCACCUCACCAAGCCAGUCCAGGGCCCGGGACCCAUUUGCCUAUUGUACGGAGAGAAAAAAGGACAAACUAAAAAAAAAGAAGUAGUACAACAUACUAAUGUCGUUUGCAACAACAAGCUGCAGGGUUUUAGCUAGCCAUUAACACGAAAUGUUGCUUCCAUGUUCCACACACUGCCCCAAAAACCCGGGCAGAUGUAAUGUCCUGUAAACCAUCUCCUCCAGCACCAGCUUGUGCUAGAAGCGCACCAACCGUCCCACUCCUUAAGCCGGCUAGUUUCCAUAGUGCAACGGCGUAAAAAUUAAGCUUCUGCAAAUUAAUAUCAAAUGACCUCCGAGCUUCACCCCUCACCCACACCCACAUCGUCAAUUCUAACUAACACCAGCAAGCAUGUGCAGGUUUAUCACCGGUUUUAGAAGGCUCCCUCUGGUGCAAGGGGAAGAAGCAAAGAAUGGAGAUGGAGUGGCCCUUCUUUUCGGGGUGGAUUAAUUUUCUGUCCCGAAAUCCGUAGCAAUCGUCGUAAUCGGAUAUGCCGCCGGAUGUCUGAUUAGGAAGAGCUUUCAUAGCCACCCGGGAGACAAGAUGAGGAGGGAGAGGGAAAGGCGGACCACCACCGUACCAGGUGGUGGUGGAUACACCCCGGAGCAUAGAACAACGGCUCGAUUUACGCACUCACGCACGCACAAAGCCUUUAGACCGAGUUGGAAGGAGCGUUACCAGCGUUGCGGCUGGACGACCGAGUGCGGCACUUCGCUUCCCUCCCACCACCUCAGUAUCCCAGGUUCCGGUAGUUGGCCCCGAAGGCGUGGGGAUGGUGGGGGAUUUCUGUACAAAAACAGGAGAAACGAACAAAUGCGUACAAUGCAAGUGGCCCUGUGUGUGGCGUCUGUACGGUGGGCAUUCGCCAAAGCAAACCCGAAAAAAGGCACAAUCUUUUGAAGCUUGUUAUAACGAGCGGAAAUGCAACAUUUAUUUACGUUUUCCUUUUUUUUUUUGGUAUUUUUCCUUUCCUAAACCCUCCAUCCUGAAGCCCUCUCGAGCCGCGGGGGCCGGGUCCAGCAAGUAGCGAUUCUUUUUGGAGCAUCCUUAUUCGCCGGCGGGUUUCAAUUGCACUUCAGCGUGCCUGUUCUUGCGGUUACUUUUUUAUUUAUUUCGAGGUACACACCGCACAUACGCGGCUGCGUUCGGAGGCGAGUUCUUAGUGUACGAAUGUCAAGCGAAACUCUUUAACGGUUGGUGAGUGGGACAUUUUUUACUUCUUAUUUGUUAACUCCCAUCUGUCCUUCCAGCAGCAGGGAAUGGCUGCAUGCUGAAAAGAGCAACACACAACACUUGACUCUUGGACCGUAAGGACCUGGACGGCACUCGAGCAUUGCGUUUCGUCAUACGGUGUGGAGUGUUUCCGUUAGUAGGAUUUUAGAAAAACCUGUUAACCUACUCAUCUACCCGGCUGCUGCUGGAAGAAGCGGGUAAGUAGCGCAAUGAAGCGCACGCAAUAAGAAGUGUUAUUCUUUCAUUAAUUUGAUAAGAUUUUAUUAUCUGAAUGAUUUUUCACUAUAUAGUUGUUUAUUAUUGCAGAAACAAUGGCAACGAUGAGGAUACAUUUUUCGCGUACCAACUGCUGUGUAUUCUAAAAUUAAUCAUUUCCAUGCGGAACCGACUGGAUGGAACCUGCCAGAUCAGCCACGGGAAGAGGCAUUUGAUUAAACAAACACACAGGCACACGCACACAGGAACAUCAUCCCUCUCUCUUUCUCUCACUCCAUUUCCAAUUUCAUCCAUCCAAGCGCAGACACAAAGCAAUUCGCCUAACCCAACGCCGCGCGGCUCAACCCUUUCUUUCCCAAGGACUUUCGCUUCUUUCUUUCACUACGCACGAUCGACCCCCGCCUCCCCCGUGCCCUACCAAUUGGAAAAAUGAAACAUUUCCCUGGCACCAAUUUUCCCGGAAAAGCGCAAACCAACCAAACACAACGAGAGGGUUGCGUAAUAGUAGCAGCAGCAGCAGCAUCCGCACCAGCAGCAACCAUUACGCCAUUAAUUCUUUCCUUUCCAGCACCGCACCCGGUUGUUGCGUACUCCGCUUGGCGCGAGUUUCAAAUUUCCAAAAUUCAACCACCCUCCUACACCCACCGGCAACUGGAAUAUAUAUUUUUCAUCUUUUCGUUACAUCAAAUUCCAAUCGGCUGGUGGUACCACCCACCCUCUGGUUCCACUCUGAUCGCCAGUGGAACGUGGAACAGAUUGUGCGUUGUUACUGUUCCCGUGCGCCUGCCAAACGCAAAUACGCAGCGGGCAGCGGCUGCAGCAUGGUUUGAUAAUAUUUAAACUAUACGAGGCAACAUUAUUACCCACACCUUGCAAAAAACGAAGCUACCGGAAUGGUCUGGGGUUCGUAGUGUUUAACAGCACGCUUCCUCCCGAAAGAACGCAUCAAUCGACAGCAAGGUUGCGCAUAGACAAGGCUUGAUUAAAAGGCAUCAAAAGUGGCAAGCGGAUAUUGAAAAAAAUGGGAGGACCAAGCGAGGCUGCUCACAAGACUAAUCCGUCGCGAAGCAUCGCUCAAACGCUGAUGAAGAAUUCUGAAGCGAAUUUCGCACACACACACACACACACACUAACCCCCCCAAUGAUUCAGAUGAGAUCGCUCGAAAGACGAUCGAAUUUGCAUUUGUUUGCUAUUCUAGUUUUUGGCUGGCUGGCGUUCUGUUUUCGCAUGCGAGUCAACAAGUCUCACGGCGAACCAAUGCUUUGCUGGGUGAAAGCCGGCAUGAAAGGCGAAGAAAAUAUGUGUUCAUCAUCUUUCGUUGCAAAUAUUUCUAUCGCACACAAAGCAUCCAAUAUGCCUCGGGGCGAAUCGAAUGCGACACGCAUCAACCGUCCAGGAAAAGCGGCCUCCGGGCCUGUACGCUGGCAGGGUUAUUGAAGCUGGGCGAUAAGCCCCCCGGAGCCUCGGAGACAGUGAAAUGAACGCUGGAGGGGAUGGCCAAAGCGCGGUGUAGCAACCCAAUUCCAUCCGUUGUGCCACAUUUCAGCUCCGUCCGUCCUACAAAUCAACAAGAGGCCUUCUAACGAAAGCAGAAAGUUCGCCCAUUUCCGCUUUCCACAGCGCACCAAAUGUCGUGCCGUGCCGGCGAACGAAAGCGCAGCUACGAAUUGCUACUGCUGGUGAUGCUGCUUCUGCUGCUGCUGCUGCUGCUGCUACUGUCCUAGCUAUCGUCCUUCUUCCGCUGCCUCCUCCCCUCUCCUUUCCCUGUUUCUUAUUAUUUUCUCUUCCCAUUGUUGAUCUCUCCGUUAUUAUAACCCCUGCUCCUGGCAUAGCCCUACACACACACACACACAGAGCAACCGAGCGCCAUUUGCCAUUGCCCGGCCCGGCACUGUCGCUUUCACUUUCAACGUGAGUUCAUUUCGGCACCGCCGCCCCACACACCAAGGACACACACACACAACCCCCAUGCGUCGUCCUCGUCUUAUUCACCAAUUUGAACGCGUUUCCUUCCCAGCGCCCAGCGCUCAGCCGCUUUUUCCUACCCCCGCUUCCAAACGCACCACCCGACCCGAACACCAUGUGCAGCACGGAAGCAUCCUCUUUCUCCCUCUCUGCCCGCCAGCCCCAUUCCGGCCCAGUCCGGGCCACAAAACGAUGACAGCAUGAUGUACUAUGUGGUAUAUAGAGCAGCAGCAGCAGCAGCAGCAGCAGCAACUCGCACCACCGCCUCCAUUCCACUGCAACGAGCCGAAGCAUCAACUCCCUCCCCCUCCCCCAAAGGAG